rnacentral:rRNA from 1 species
GACGAACGCUGGCGGCGUGCCUAAUACAUGCAAGUAGGACGCACAGUUUAUACCGUAGCUUGCUACACCAUAGACUGUGAGUUGCGAACGGGUGAGUAACGCGUAGGUAACCUGCCUAUUAGAGGGGGAUAACUAUUGGAAACGAUAGCUAAUACCGCAUAACAGUAUGUAACACAUGUUAGAUGCUUGAAAGAUGCAAUUGCAUCGCUAGUAGAUGGACCUGCGUUGUAUUAGCUAGUAGGUAGGGUAAUGGCCUACCUAGGCGACGAUACAUAGCCGACCUGAGAGGGUGAUCGGCCACACUGGGACUGAGACACGGCCCAGACUCCUACGGGAGGCAGCAGUAGGGAAUCUUCGGCAAUGGGGGGAACCCUGACCGAGCAACGCCGCGUGAGUGAAGAAGGUUUUCGGAUCGUAAAGCUCUGUUGUUAAGGAAGAACGAGUGUGAAAAUGGAAAGUUCAUACUGUGACGGUACUUAACCAGAAAGGGACGGCUAGCUACGUGCCAGCAGCCGCGGUAAUACGUAGGUCCCGAGCGUUGUCCGGAUUUAUUGGGCGUAAAGCGAGCGCAGGCGGUUAGAAAAGUCUGAAGUGAAAGGCAGUGGCUCAACCAUUGUAGGCUUUGGAAACUGUUUAACUUGAGUGCAGAAGGGGAGAGUGGAAUUCCAUGUGUAGCGGUGAAAUGCGUAGAUAUAUGGAGGAACACCGGUGGCGAAAGCGGCUCUCUGGUCUGUAACUGACGCUGAGGCUCGAAAGCGUGGGGAGCGAACAGG